rnacentral:rRNA from 1 species
UACAGAGGUCUCAAGCGUUGUUCGGAUUCAUUGGGCGUAAAGGGUGUGUAGGUGGCGCCGUAAGUCGGGUGUGAAAUUUCGGAGCUUAACUCCGAAACUGCAUUCGAUACUGCGGUGCUUGAGGACUGGAGAGGAGACUGGAAUUCAUGGUGUAGCAGUGAAAUGCGUAGAGAUCAUGAGGAAGACCAGUGGCGAAGGCGACUUUCUGGUCUGUAACUGACACUGAGGCGCGAAAGCGUGGGGAGCAAACAGG